CAAAUUAUGGUGAACCUCGCGAUAGCGAGGUUUUAUAUCCAUUACCUUCUGUAUUUAAAACAUCCGCUCUUAAAUUAUUUUAAUGAUAAAAUUAAAAAAGA
rnacentral:misc_RNA from 1 species